rnacentral:ncRNA from 1 species
UGCCGGUUCAUUCUGUACCGGCAUAAAAGGGAAUUCGGUGACAAUCCGAAGCAGUGCCCGCUACUGUAAUACCCAUAUCCGAAGAAAAGUUUCUUAUGCCACUGUUUCGUUUACAAGAAAUGGGAAGGUGCUUUUCAGGGUUAAGCCAGGAAACCUGCCAGAUCAGAC